GCAAACUUGGUCAUUUAGAGGAAGUAAAAGUCGUAACAAGGUUUCCGUAGGUGAACCUGCGGAAGGAUCAUUAGUGAACAAACCGGUGUGGUUGCUGCUGGCCUUCUCUGAGGCAUGUGCACGCUCACCAUUGUUUCAUUCCUUCUCUCCCACCUGUGCACUCCCUGUAGGCCAGCCUGUCAAACCCUUCGAGUUGUCUCAACUCGGUGUGAGGGUGGUGUCAUCCACCCUUGGACUGGCAACAAUGGUCUAUGUUUUCUUAUCAGCACCAAUGAAUGUAUAGAAUGUAUGUAUCAGGCCAGCAUGGCCUAUAAAACCUUUAUACAACUUUCAACAACGGAUCUCUUGGCUCUCGCAUCGAUGAAGAACGCAGC
rnacentral:misc_RNA from 1 species